rnacentral:rRNA from 1 species
UACGAAGGGGGGCUAGCGUUGUUCGGAUUUACUGGGCGUAAAGCGCACGUAGGCGGAUUGUUAAGUCAGGGGGUGAAAUCCUGGAGCUCAACUCCAGAACUGCCUUUGAUACUGGCAAUCUUGAGUCCGGAAGAGGUGAGUGGAACUCCUAGUGUAGAGGUGGAAUUCGUAGAUAUUAGGAAGAACACCAGUGGCGAAGGCGGCUCACUGGUCCGGUACUGACGCUGAGGUGCGAAAGCG